rnacentral:rRNA from 1 species
AAUGAACGUUGGCGGCGUGGAUUAGGCAUGCAAGUCGCGCGUGUACCAGCAAUGGGAAAGCGGCGAAAGGGACAGUAAUGUGUAGAUACCUGCCCUCGGGACCGGGAUAGCUGCGGGAAACUGCAGGUAAUACCGGAUGACGUCUCCGGACCAAAGGUGUGAUUCCGCCGGAGGAUGGGUCUACAUCCUAUUAGCUAGUUGGUGAGGUAAUGGCUCACCAAGGCCACGAUGGGUAGCAGGUGUGAGAGCACGACCUGCGUCAUUGGGACUGAGACACUGCCCAGAAACCUACUGGUGGCUGCAGUCGAGAAUCUUCGGCAAUGGGCGAAAGCCUGACCGAGCGACGCCGCGUGCGGGAUGAAGGCCUUCGGGUUGUAAACCGCUGUCAGUGGGGAGGAAGGCUCCGUGCAGAGCGGGGUUUGACCUAUCCGCAGAGGAAGCAAGGGCUAAGUUCGUGCCAGCAGCCGCGGUAAGAC